rnacentral:rRNA from 1 species
AGAGUUUGAUCCUGGCUCAGGAUGAACGCUAGCGACAGGCUUAACACAUGCAAGUCGAGGGGCAGCGGGGGCGUAGCAAUAUGCCUGCCGGCGACCGGCGCACGGGUGAGUAACACGUAUGUAACCUGCCCUAUGCAGGGGGAUAACCCGGAGAAAUCCGGCCUAAUACCGCGUAACACCUUAGGGGAGCAUUCUCUUGAGGUUAAAGGAGAGAUCCGGCAUAGGAUGGACAUGCGUCGCAUUAGGUAGACGGCGGGGUAACGGCCCACCGUGCCGACGAUGCGUAGGGGUUCUGAGAGGAAGGCCCCCCACACUGGUACUGAGACACGGACCAGACUCCUACGGGAGGCAGCAGUGAGGAAUAUUGGUCAAUGGCCGAGAGGCUGAACCAGCCAAGUCGCGUGAGGGAAGAAUGUCCUAAGGAUUGUAAACCUCUUUUGUCGGGGAGCAAAAAGGCUCUGCGGAGUCGUAUUGAGAGUACCCGAAGAAAAAGCAUCGGCUAACUCCGUGCCAGCAGCCGCGGUAAUACGGAGGAUGCGAGCGUUAUCCGGAUUUAUUGGGUUUAAAGGGUGCGCAGGCGGCGUGUCAAGCAAGCGGUAAAAUAGCGGGGCUCAACCCCGUCGAGCCGUUUGAACUGGCGCGCUUGAGUUCAGGCGAGGUAGGCGGAAUUCGUGGUGUAGCGGUGAAAUGCAUAGAUAUCACGAAGAACUCCGAUUGCGAAGGCAGCUUACCAGUCUGCGACUGACGCUCAGGCACGAAAGUGUGGGUAUCGAACAGGAUUAGAUACCCUGGUAGUCCACACAGUAAACGAUGAGCGCUAGGUGUCCGGGUAGCAUGAGAAUUGGGUGUCCGAGCGAAAGCGUUAAGCGCUCCACCUGGGGAGUACGCCGGCAACGGUGAAACUCAAAGGAAUUUGACGGGGGCCCGCACAAGCGGAGGAACAUGUGGUUUAAUUCGAUGAUACGCGAGGAACCUUACCCGGGCUCAAACGACUCAGGAAUAUAUAGGAAACGAUGUAGCCAGCAAUGGUCUGAGUCGAGGUGCUGCAUGGUUGUCGUCAGCUCGUGCCGUGAGGUGUCAGCUUAAGUGCCAUAACGAGCGCAACCCCUACCGCCAGUUGCCAACGGGUAAAGCCGGGAACUCUGGCGGGACUGCCGGCGCAAGCUGCGAGGAAGGCGGGGAUGACGUCAAAUCAGCACGGCCCUUACGUCCGGGGCGACACACGUGUUACAAUGGCAGGUACAGCGGGAAGCCACCUGGUGACAGGGAGCGGAACCCGAAAGCCUGUCUCAGUUCGGAUUGGAGUCUGCAACUCGACUCCAUGAAGCUGGAUUCGCUAGUAAUCGCGCAUCAGCCAUGGCGCGGUGAAGGGGUUCCCGGGCCUUGCACACACCGCCCG